rnacentral:piRNA from 1 species
CUGAUGGUGGAAAGGUUGAACUAGA